rnacentral:tRNA from 1 species
CGGGCAGUAGCGCAGCCCGGUAGCGCACUACGUUCGGGACGUAGGGGUCGCUGGUUCGAAUCCAGUCUGCCCGACUA